rnacentral:lncRNA from 1 species
GUUGGAAAGCUAACUCAAAGAGCUACAACUUUUAUUUAGAUAUCAUUUUCCGAAUCGAAUGUUUCCUAUGUCGAAAAUGGGUCUCAAAUGAGACUAAAAAUCUGAAUUAUACUUUAGUCAUCUAAUAUUCAUAUCUUAGUGCCACUAAGGUGUCUAGAAUUAUUUGGGGUUCUACAUCCCCCACACCUUAAUUAAAAUUUCGUCCUCGAAAUUUACCUUCUGAUUGGGCGAAUAGUGUUGGAUACUUGUCUUUGGCUUUUUCUUCAUUUUCCCAAGUGGCUUCUUCUACGCCGUGAUGAUUCCACUGUAUUUUAACCAAUUGAAUCUCUUUAUUCCUUAGUUUACGCACUUUUCGAUCCAAUAUCUUGAUCGGUAGUUCCUCGUACGACAAAUAUUUCUGUACCUCCAAAGUUUGAUAACUCACUACAUGAUUAGGAUCAUGUACAUACUUCUUUAUCAUCGAUAUAUGGAAUACACUGUCGAUAAUUCAGGUGGCAAAGCUAGUCGGUAAGCCACAUUUCCGACUCUAUCAAGUAUCUCGAAAGGUCCGAUAUACCGGGGUCGUAGCUUGCCUUUCUUUCCAAAUCUAAGUACACAUUUCAUCGGUGUUACUUUCAGAAACACUUUAUCCCCAACUUGGAAUUCUAAAUCCUUCCUCCUUGUAUCUGUAUAGCUCUUUUGUCGAUCCUGUGCUGCCUUUAUUCUUGCACGGAUCUUAUCGAUUACCUUGACCGCCCUUUCAACCAUUUCUGGUCCCAAAACUCUCUUCUGUCCGACUUCAUUCCAAUGAACAGGGGAUCUACAUCUUCUACCAUAGAGAGCUUCGUAUGGUGCCAUUCCAAUAGUUGCUUGGAAACUGUUAUUAUAAGCGAACUCUACUAGAGGUAAGCAUGACUCCCAAUUACCUCCUAAAUCCAAAACACAUGUUCUCAGCAUGUCUUCCAAAAUUUGGAUGGUCCUUUUAGAUUGACCAUCGGACUGAGGAUGAUAUGUUGUACUAAAGUUCAGCUUCGUUUCCAUGGCUCCUUGUAGACUUUUCCAAAAUUUGGACGUGAACCUUGGGUCUCUGUCAGACACAAUGGAUACAAGUACACCGUGUAAUCUCACAACCUCUUU